AAUGAACGCUCGAGGGAUGCAUUACACAUGCAAGUCGAACGAGUGGCGGACGGGUGAGUAAUGUAUGGGAAAGUGCCCGAUGGAGGGGGAUAACUACUGGAAACCGUAGCUAAUACCGCAUACCAUCGGAUGUGCCCAGAUGGGAUUAGCUAGUUGGUGGGGUAACGGCUCACCUAGGCGACGAUCCCUAGCUGGUCUGAGAGGAUGACCAGCCACACUGGAAGUGAGACACGGACCAGACUCCUACGGGAGGAAGAAGGGGGGAAGAUUGUAGAAUGGGGGAAAUGUGGAUCAAGCCCUGCGACGUGGAUGAUGAAGGAGCUGUGGUGGAAAAGUACUCAAAGCUGGGAGGCGGUAGCAGCAGAAGAAGCACAGGCUAACUUCGUGCCAGCAGCCGCGGUAAUUC
rnacentral:rRNA from 1 species